AAACAAUUUCUUGGCAGAGAUGAAAAGAAAAAAAAAUUACAAGAAAAGAAGAAAAAAAACGGCCGCCGUCGCCCACGAUCUCCAGACUUGAGGAGAACCGCCAGGCCACGAACUCACUGGAGGCAGAGACUUAGGACGACGUGGGAAUUCUAAUGUAUACAUCAACACUCAUCCGUCUUCCAAUUCCCAGUUCACACGAAAAUAGAAAACAAAUAAAGAAAGAAGAGCAGCGCAGAAUCAAACCCAAAAGGAGGAGAAAAUUCUUAUAAAAUCGGCUUAGGUCGGACUUGAUAAUUGUCAUUGGUUGUAGCACCUUCCUUUGAUGCAGAUAUGAAUAAUUUUAACAGGAGCAAAACAAUGCUCCGUUCAAAGUGUGGAGUCUCAAGUAAUGAUAAUUGAAGAAUCAUGAAGAUACUUUCAAGUUUUCAACAACGUGUGGACUGAAUUCUUUACUUCAAAAGGUCCCUCCUUCAAAAAAAGAAGGCCGCUCCCUCUUCUUUAGAUUAAGGAUCAGACUGUUGCCAUCUAAUAUUUUGAUUUCAUGGAUUUAGCACCUCUAAUUUUGAACGAUGGCCAGUUUGAAGGAUGGGCCUGAAUUUCAUUUAGGCAUGCAAUUUGAUCUGCCGCAUAAUCUUAAUUUGAUGUAUAGGACGAAUUCUCAGCACAGUUUUUAUUCCUUCCUCU